rnacentral:misc_RNA from 1 species
UAGCAGAUACCCGGUACC